AGCGGCGGCUUCCCGCAUGCGCGAUUCAUUUGCAGUCUGGACGCGGAGGGGUGAACAUCUUCUGCUCUGACUGCAGCACGGGGACUGGGCCGCCUGUGAGUGCUUUGGGACUGGGACUGGGGACCCGCUGCUCGUUGAGAAGACUCUUAGAUCUGUGCAUCUUAUCAAUUCAUUGGACUAUCAGUAUCGGGUGCGGGCGGCUGCAGCGUUAGUCAUUACCUACCGUAUGACGUGGCAGAAAGUAUCAGAUGGAUGCUGUGUGACAUGGCACAGUUGAAUGACUAUCAAAGUAGCCUCUGAAGACAGGCAUAACAUUCAGACACACUCACGAUACCUACUCAUGCUGGAGGAUGCCAGGAGGAGGGAGUUGGAGCACCAAUUCCUGACUCCCCCCAACAGCACAGAGAAGCCCAUGACACACUGAGCCUGGAGAAACAAUGGUCUGAAACUCUAAACUAAUGCUUGGAAGAUAACAGCAAAGAGCUGGCUCUGUCAUUCUAAUAGGCAAAUACAGGACAUGGUUCGUGGUUGAUUAUUAGGGACCAAAGGAAUGACCAGUCUGCUUUGCACCAAGGGGUCCAGACCUGGCUGUUUUUGUCUGAGCCUGAUGUCCAGCUCGUUUAAUGAACAUUUUUGCAUAGGAGUCAGUGUAUUUCAUAUGGUCCAUUUUUUAUUUAUUUUAAUGUUAUGGUUUGAAUGAGGAUCGUCAUAUGAUUCAGUAAUGGGGACAAGUUACCUCAACGUAUUAUGGGUUUAUUGGCCUGUGGUACUUGUGCUUAAAUUGAUCUUUAACUUUUUUAAAUUUUUAAAUACACUGAUUAAUAUACCAGAACAUUAAAAUGUGAAGUUAUGAGUUCUGAAUUGUAUUUCUGGAAGAUUCUAUUCCUUUAAAUCAAUUGCAGAGUAUGGCAUUAACUAUAUGUACUCAAUGCCCAGUUUUAGGUACACCCAUCUAGUGCAAAAUCGGACCCCCCCUUUUACCUGUCAUCGAGCACAGGACUGGCGCAAACUGGAUUUUUUUGUUUGUCACGUUCUCUGUAAACCCUAGCCACUGUCGUGCGUGAAAAACACAUGAGGGUGUCCGUUUCUGAUAUACUGGAACCAACAAUCAUACCAUGCUCAGGCCACUUAUUUUGCCCACUAGUAUUCAAUUGAACAAUAACUGAAUGCCUGUGCCUGCCUGCCUGCCUGCCUGCCUUAUAAAAAGCCACAGAGUGAACCAUUUGUGUGAACGGGGUGGUGUACCUAAAACUGUCCACUGAGUAUUUUCUUGUAUAUGGGAGCUGAGGUAAAAUCUGUAAACGUGAAUACUUCUGAAAGGCUAAUGUAAUUUAUUAAAGUGGUGCUGUUUGUUAAACCAGGGGAUUACCAUCUCUGAACACAGGGAAUAAAACUGCUUACAGGUAAUUGAGUACAAAU